rnacentral:rRNA from 1 species
CGACGUGAGGAACCUGCCUUGGAGAGGGGAAUAACACUCCGAAAGGAGUGCUAAUACCGCAUGAUGCAGUUGGGUCGCAUGGCUCUGACUGCCAAAGAUUUAUCGCUCUGAGAUGGCCCCGCGUCUGAUUAGCUAGUAGGCGGGGUAACGGCCCACCUAGGCGACGAUCAGUAGCCGGACUGAGAGGUUGACCGGCCACAUUGGGACUGAGACACGGCCCAG